rnacentral:rRNA from 1 species
AUUGAACGCUGGCGGCAGGCCUAACACAUGCAAGUCGAACGAGUGGCGGACGGGUGAGUAAUGUCUGGGAAACUGCCUGAUGGAGGGGGAUAACUACUGGAAACGGUAGAUAAUACCGCAUACCAUCGGAUGUGCCCAGAUGGGAUUAGCUAGUAGGUGGGGUAAAGGCUCACCUAGGCGACGAUACCUAGCUGGUCUGAGCGGAUGAACAGCCCCACUGGAAAUGCACCACGGUCCAGACUCCUACGUGAGUCAGCAGUGGGGAAUAUGUCACAAUGGGCGCAAGCCUGACGCAGCCAUGCCUCGUGUAUGAAGAAGGCCUUCGGGUUGUAAAGUACUUUCAGCGGGGAUGCGUUACCCGCAGAAGAAGCACCGGCUAACUCCGUGCCAGCAGCCGCGGUAAUAC